CUCUAAAAUUUCGAACCUAGACCUCCAGACCUAGCCUCCUUCUCCAAGCUGACCUGCAUCGACUCCCGAUCUCCUUCUCCAAGCUGACCUGCGUCGACUCCCGACCUCAUUCUCCAACCUAAGCCUACUGGAGCCGCCUCCAACCUGACCCCGAGUCCCCGACCUCGCUCUCUGACCCCGAGUUCCCCUGCCUCGCUCUGACCCCGAGUCCCCGAUCUAGUUUUCCAGACCUCGAGCUUGAGCUCCGAUCUGACCUCGAGCUUAUUAGCCGACCUGAGCUUGUCAUUCUCCAACAGGAAGAUCGGGAGUUGAAGGUUUUCAAGAAGGAAGAAAGGAUAGGAGCAGGGUAUUUUGCAUGUUUUCGUUCUUCUAAAGUCUGCUAAACCCAUUGAUGGUGCUGCAAGAAAGAGGUACAAACCAAGACCCAUGAGGGCUGAAAGAGGCAAUGAGUUGCAUAAUGGGAAGUUGAUUGUGCAGAAUUGCGGAUUUCGGAGUUGGCCUGAUGGGAUUCAGUCAAUGGCUCUCUCGUUAUUUCCUUUAUCAAUAAUGUUGGGGUUGAUUGAUUUUGAUUACAGUUUGUAAUUUGAUGUUUCAACAGUCUGUUGUGGGGUUGCUUAUAAAUUUAACGCAUAGACAUCUACUUACAGUUUUAGAGAAAUUUGUUCUGCAAUUUUAAUUGGAUAGUGAGAAAUGUGAUUGGGGAAGUUCAGUUUGUUGGAUUGGGGGUGUGAGAUUAUUGUUUGAUUCGUUAAAUUAGAGGUUGUUGAAAAUUAUAUUCGGACAUCUAUUUGCCGUUAUGCAGAUUAUAUUUAUUCUCUGUUUUAUAACAAUUUUGGUGUUUAAUGGUUCUGUUUCUGAUUCUGCCAAUUAGUUUUUUGUUUUUUUCUGUGGAGGUUUUAGUUUUUAGAUUAUAUAUAGUACUUGAUUUCUUGGUUAUUGAUGUUUUGAGUUUAGCUAGAUUAUAAAGCAUGAAAUUGAUGUUUUGAUACUUUUUAUCUUUCAGAGUUAAUCUUUAUGUCAAUGAAAUACUCCAAAGCUUACCAACAUUUAGGAAUCUCAAUCAUUUGAACUUGGACCUCUAUUCAUAUUGAACUAAACGUGAAGAUGUUGAUCUGGUGCCUGAUUCCAAAUUCUAACAAGACUGAUAAGGCUUCAAUGCUGGAUGAAGCAGUUGAGUAUUUGAAGCAGCUCCAGCUUCAAGUACAGGUCAGAUAGUUUUCAUUUUUUGGGAUUAUAUAAUUCUAUUAGCAUUACAAGCAAUUGCUUUUAAUACGUCUUCAAAGAUAAGUCGUGUUGAGUAGUAUGGAUUUUUUAGCUAGGCUCUUGAUUUUCUGUUGUGUAAGUUAAAGUUUUGAGUUGUGGAUUUUGGGUUUUCAGAGGGAAGAAAGAAAGAAACAGAAGAAGGGGGAGAAAGGAAGAAACAGAAGAAGGGGGAGACGGGAAGGACAGAAGAGGCAGGGAAAUCCAAAAGACGAGAAGAACUGCUCUACUUCACAGAUUCAAGGAAUCCAAAGAAAAAGGAAACUCCACAUAUCACUGUUCAUGAUUAGAAGUGGCUACUUAGCAUAGUUGCAACACAUAUCCUACGAAAGUAAGCUUCUGAGGACUAUCUUUGUUGAAAAAUUACCGGUGAAGGUGAAGAAGAAGGUCUUGAUCAGGGAGUUCAUUAAGUUUGAAGAGGUGGAGCCUGUGAGGAUUUGAUCUGAGCCGAUAGAGGAUAAAAGUAGCGGAAACUUAUAAAGAAACUCCAUAAGAAAGCUAACAGGUCAACGCUAGCAGAUCAAAGCGGCAACUUCAAUUUUGUCUGGAGCCUUAGGACUAUCACAGUGGGACUGAACCCAAUCUGGAUCAAUUUUGAGUGAUAUUGGUGGGAUUUCAGGUAUUUGUAGUGGGCGGUAAAGGAUCGGAAAGGGUAUACCCAACAACAACUUGAUGAGGUCCGCAUUGAAGUAGCCGACUACUUACAGACUCUGUUGUAGGUUCUGACCAGUUUCUUGAUUUUGAGUUAGUUUUAACUAACUUUUUUGUAGCAAUUAUGAACAAACAAGAAUACUAAUUGCUAGGCUAGCCUUGUAGUAUAUAGGUGCAUAUAUGAAUUGGGGUUUUAUUUUGCCCAUUUUGUAAACUGUUAAGGAUGAUGAAUGUCGGAUAUAAUACCCCAAUUUGCAAUUUAUAAUCACAGUUCUAUUUUGUGGACA